AUAACCUGGAGGAAGGUGGGGAUGACGUCAAAUCAUCAUGCCCCUUAUGCUUAGGGCUACACACGUGCUACAAUGGGUAGUACAGAGGGUUGCCAAGCCGUAAGGUGGAGCUAAUCCCUUAAAGCUACUCCCAGUUCGGAUUGUAGGCUGAAACUCGCCUACAUGAAGCUGGAGUUACUAGUAAUCGCAGAUCAGAAUGCUGCGGUGAAUGCGUUCCCGGGUCUUGUACACACCGCCCGUCACACCACGGGAGUUGGAGACGCCCGAAGCCGAUUAUCUAACCUUUUGGAAGAAGUCGUC
rnacentral:rRNA from 1 species